rnacentral:rRNA from 1 species
UACGAAGGGGGCUAGCGUUGCUCGGAAUCACUGGGCGUAAAGCGCACGUAGGCGGCUUUUUAAGUCAGGGGUGAAAUCCUGGAGCUCAACUCCAGAACUGCCUUUGAUACUGGGAAGCUUGAGUCCGGAAGAGGUGAGUGGAACUCCGAGUGUAGAGGUGAAAUUCGUAGAUAUUCGGAAGAACACCAGUGGCUAAGGCGGCUCACUGGUCCGGUACUGACGCUGAGGAGCGAAAGCGUGGGGAGCGAACAGG